rnacentral:rRNA from 1 species
GAACGCUAGCUACAGGCUUAACACAUGCAAGUCGAGGGGCAGCAUGGUCUUAGCUUGCUAAGGCCGAUGGCGACCGGCGCACGGGUGAGUAACACGUAUCCAACCUGCCGUCUACUCUUGGACAGCCUUCUGAAAGGAAGAUUAAUACAAGAUGGCAUCAUGAGUCCGCAUGUUCACAUGAUUAAAGGUAUUCCGGUAGACGAUGGGGAUGCGUUCCAUUAGAUAGUAGGCGGGGUAACGGCCCACCUAGUCUUCGAUGGAUAGGGGUUCUGAGAGGAAGGUCCCCCCACAUUGGAACUGAGACACGGUCCAAACUCCUACGGGAGGCAGCAGUGAGGAAUAUUGGUCAAUGGGCGAGAGCCUGAACCAGCCAAGUAGCGUGAAGGAUGACUGCCCUAUGGGUUGUAAACUUCUUUUAUAAAGGAAUAAAGUCGGGUAUGGAUACCCGUUUGCAUGUACUUUAUGAAUAAGGAUCGGCUAACUCCGUGCCAGCAGCCGCGGUAAUACGGAGGAUCCGAGCGUUAUCCGGAUUUAUUGGGUUUAAAGGGAGCGUAGAUGGAUGUUUAAGUCAGUUGUGAAAGUUUGCGGCUCAACCGUAAAAUUGCAGUUGAUACUGGAUAUCUUGAGUGCAGUUGAGGCAGGCGGAAUUCGUGGUGUAGCGGUGAAAUGCUUAGAUAUCACGAAGAACUCCGAUUGCGAAGGCAGCCUGCUAAGCUGCAACUGACAUUGAGGCUCGAAAGUGUGGGUAUCAAACAGGAUUAGAUACCCUGGUAGUCCACACGGUAAACGAUGAAUACUCGCUGUUUGCGAUAUACGGCAAGCGGCCAAGCGAAAGCGUUAAGUAUUCCACCUGGGGAGUACGCCGGCAACGGUGAAAUUCAAAGGAAUUGACGGGGGCCCGCACAAGCGGAGGAACAUGUGGUUUAAUUCGAUGAUACGCGAGGAACCUUACCCGGGCUUAAAUUGCAGAUGAAUUACGGUGAAAGCCGUAAGCCGCAAGGCAUCUGUGAAGGUGCUGCAUGGUUGUCGUCAGCUCGUGCCGUGAGGUGUCGGCUUAAGUGCCAUAACGAGCGCAACCCUUGUUGUCAGUUACUAACAGGUUCUGCUGAGGACUCUGACAAGACUGCCAUCGUAAGAUGUGAGGAAGGUGGGGAUGACGUCAAAUCAGCACGGCCCUUACGUCCGGGGCUACACACGUGUUACAAUGGGGGGUACAGAGGGCCGCUACCACGCGAGUGGAUGCCAAUCCCCAAAACCUCUCUCAGUUCGGACUGGAGUCUGCAACCCGACUCCACGAAGCUGGAUUCGCUAGUAAUCGCGCAUCAGCCACGGCGCGGUGAAUACGUUCCCGGGCCUUGUACACACCGCCCGUCAAGCCAUGGGAGCCGGGGGUACCUGAAGUGCGUAACCGCGAGGAGCGCCCUAGGGUAAAACUGGUGA